GCGUUGGUGGCUCCAUACCCUAAGAGGCCCCGAACCGGUGGUUAGGUAAAAAGGUUCUCUUCUUUCUAUUCACUAAAUGGGAAACUUGGGUCAUUCUGAGCUUAAUCGCGUUCGACGAUCAACCAUCAGGCCAAUUCUUCAAGGGCUUCUCUCUGCCUUAGUAGCCCGUCUGUGUUGCAGAUAGGGAUGUAAGAUUGGCAGCACCAAAGUACAGCAAAUUCCGCGCAGGAGAGCAGAGCAGCAGAGUAUCUUUCUUCCCGUGCGUCCUUUGUUACUUAACGGAAACCUAACCAUCUGACGACGUCGCUCUGGUCUGGGCUCGGUACCAGACGUAGCACACCAUCAUUGGCUGAUUGACACUGGGCCCCACCUAGAAUAAUCUUAUCACGUGCGAAAUGAGAGCAUCACACUUGUUUGCACUUCUUCCAACAUACCAACUUUUGAUAAGACCUAGAUUCUC